ACUCGCAGGGCUCUCACUGCUCGCGGUGCGGCAGCCGCGCGCGGACUCCGCUGCGCCUCCGAGGGGGCCAGGCACGCGGUCAAGAUCUGUGGCCACUGGUUCCCAUGGUUUCGAGGCACCAUGAGGCUCGCUGGCUCCUGGAAACUUUGGCUUUGGGCAGCACUUCUCCUGCUUCCUGCUUCCACUUCCGUGACGGUUAGGGACAAGCCAGAAAAGCAGUGUCCUGUACUGAGAACAGAGGAGCAUCAGUUUACACAAGACAAUGGAGAUAAACUUGAAGUUUCAGGUUUUGACCUAGGAGAGAGCUUUUCUAUGAGACGUGUGUUUUGUGAAGGUGAUAAAACCUGUUUCAAAUUGGGAAGUUCACUUCUUAUUAGAGACACCAUGUUGAACUUCACCAACUUAAAAUCUACUGUGACUUGAACUUCAUAGCUCAAGAAACUUGUUGUGAGAUGUCAGACACUAAGUGCCCAGAGCAGGUUGGCUUUGGAAGUACUGCAUCUUUAUCAGUACCUGCGUAUGCCAGUCGAAUGUCUGCAUUUCUGCCAGCAAAGCAGGAACUAACAGACCAGUGCCAGUGUAUUCCAGAGAAGGGAGAAGCAGGAUUACAGGGAGCUCCAGGCUCACCGGGCCAGAAAGGAGACAAAGGACAGCAGGUAAGACACCAUCCAGUGCUGUCAGGAUGCAAGAGGAUUUGUCCAAAAGUGACUUUAAACUUGUGUCCAGCUCAUUUUUCUAGUCCCAUAUAAAUGCACAUUUCCAUAAAAAAGGCUGUCAAGGGCUGUAUUUAAGUGCUGUGCUGACCACUGAAAUAAAGAAGACUGAUAUCAGCAUGCAAGUCUGCUUUGGAGAAUCCUAUUGAAGGCUGGCCUAAAAUAUGGAAAGAUUAGGAAAUCUAGAUCUUUGUACCUGUUAAACCACAAGCAAAACCGCAAAGCAAGAAAGUUUGUUUUUCAGCGGUGUUGUAGCUUUCUUUAGCAUUCUCUUCUCCAAAUGCUUGAUGAACUUCUGAUGCUCUUGUCUGCUGAUAGGUCUCCACUGAAGAUUUUUCCUUACCCUUUAUUCAGGGGUGUAAACAUCUUUGUUGAACACUUUCUCUGCGUAAGGCCUAGUGUUGGGUGUUAGAGGGGGUAGACAGAAGGGGAUCCAUUCCCUUUUCUCCAUGAUUUUAAAUCUGGGAGAAGACAGAAGACCUUAUCAGACCGCAUGUGUUAGGUGCUGUAGGAGCAUUUCAGGGGUCCUCAGGGAACUGUCUGGGGAGACUGGGGAGAGUUUCCUGGAGGAGAUGGUAAGUGACAGGACCUGUGAGAAUCUGAUUCUAGCCAGUAUCCACACCUAGAGACUGCCUUUCCCUUCUCCCUAUCCCUUUUAUAACUGAACUAUUCAGUUCCCCACUCUUUUGAGUCAUGUCUUUUUUUCAACCAGUUUUUUUUUUUAAUUGAAGUACAGUCAGUUUACAGUGUUGUGUUAGCCUCAGGUGCACAGCAAAGUGACUGAAUUAUACAGGCAUAUAUAUUCUUUUUUCAGAUUCUUUUUUUUUUAAUAUCCAGCAGAUACUCAUUUUUUUAUUUUAAUGAUUUUUAUUUUUUUCCAUUGUGAGAUUCUUUUCCAUUAUAGUUUAUUACAAGACAUUGGAUGUAGUUCCCUGUGCUAUACAGUAGGUCCUUGUUAGUGUUCUAUUUUAUAUAUAGUAAUAUGUAUCUGUUAAUCCCAAACAUGUAUCUUCCCACCUCCUCUAUCCCCUCUAGUAACCAUAAGUUUGUUUUCUAUGAGUCAUGUCUCUUGUUAGCUCACUAGGUAGAUUAAUUUCUGCCAAGGUUAGAGUUGGUUAUGUUCUUACUAUCUUUCCAAGGUAAAAUAGUUUAAAUUCUUUUCAUGCCUUAACUUGGAAAUCCAAAGCUUUAAAUUGUUUAUAUAAUCUACAUGGACUCCUUAUUUUAAAAGGCUCAUAAGCAGAUUAAUUUAUGCCAAGAUUAGGAGUUGAUUAUAUCUUUCCAUGGAAGAUAGAAUAGUAGACUUUCCUUUGGGAUCAUAGACCAAGAAUGGAGAGUUCCCUGGUGGCCUAGUGAUUAAGGAUUCAGCUUUGUCACUGCUAAGUUACCUGAAGUUCCCAUGGAAAAUAAAGAACUCAUAGAAGACAAACUUAUUAAGCACCUCAGUGGCUUCUGCUUGAGAGGAACUGUUUGGGGUAGGAUGGGUGUUUAUUUUUAAAGGCUGAGAAAUGACUGAUUUCACCAAGCUGCACAACAAGCUUCAACCAAGCCAUUCUUGGUUGGGUUCUUUUUUGGCCAAACCCACAACAUACAGAAGUUCCCAGGCCAGGGCUCAAACAUCAUCCACCUUAUAAACAAUAAUAUUCAGUAUUAUUUAUGUGUGGUCUUUGGUCAGGUUACUUCCACUUGUAAUAUCUUAUUUUGUCCUUAUCACCUAAGAAUGUAAAUCUAAUAUUUGUAUCCUCAUUUUGCAACUGAGAGAACCGUGCUUUCAAAAUCAUUAUAAUACUGAAGUGCACUUUUUAUUAUGUGAAAGCUUAAAAUAAUUGAGCAAUAUCUAGUUCUAAAGACUAUUUUUAUUAAUUAAUUAAUUUAUUUAUUUAUUUAUUGGCCCUGCACUCAGCAUGCAGAAGUUCUGAGGCCAGGGUUCUAAAGGCUAUUUAAAUCAAACUAAACAUUAAAAAUUACAGCAAUCUGGAGUUCCCAUCAUGGCGCAGUGGUUAAUGAAUCUGACUAGCAUCCACAAGGACGCAGGUUUAAUCCCUGGCCUUACUCAGUGGGUUAAGGAUCUGGCAUUUCCGUGUGCUGUGGUAUAGGUUGCAGACUCAUCUUGGAUCCUGUGUUGCUGUGGCUGUGGCAUAGGCCGGCAGCUAUAGCUCCAGUCUGACCCGUAGCCUGGGAAACUCUAUAUGCCAUGGUUGCGGCCCUAAAAAGAAAAAAAAAAAA
rnacentral:lncRNA from 1 species